GGAAGUGCACAGCUCACUGGUGGGGCUCCCGGACUUCAAAUCCGGUGUGAGGCGUUAAAACCGUCUCGGGUGGGUUCGAUUCCCAUGCACUUCCGCCA
rnacentral:tRNA from 1 species